GACGAACGCUGGCGGCAGGCUUAACACAUGCAAGUCGAACGAGUGGAGGACGGGUGAGUAAUGCUUGGGGAUCUAGCUUAUGGAGGGGGAUAAAUACGGGAAACUGUAGCUAAUAACGCGUACCAUAGGAUGAGCCCAAGUGGGAUUAGGUAUGUGGUGAGGUAAAGGCUCACCAAGACGACGAUCUCUAGCUGGUCUGAGAGGAUGACCAGCCACACUGGGACUGAGACACGGCCCAGCCUCCUACGGGAGGCAGCAGUGGGGAAGAUUGCGCAAUGGGGGCAACCUGACGCAGCCAUGCCGCGUGAAUGAAGAAGGCCUUCGGGUUGUAAAGUUCUUUCGGUAGCGAGGCGUUAACUACAGAAGAAGCACCGGCUAACUCCGUGCCAGCAGCCGCGGUAAUUC
rnacentral:rRNA from 1 species